AUUGAACGCUGGCGGCAGGCCUAACACAUGCAAGUCGAGCGGAGCGGCGGACGGGGGAGUAAUGCCUAGGAAUCUGCCUGGUAGUAGGGGAUAACGUCCGGAAACGGGCGCUAAUACCGCAUACUAUCAGGUGAGCCUAGGUCGGAUUAGCUGGUUGGUGGGGUAAAGGCCUACCAAGGCGACGAUCCGUAACGGGUCUGAGAGGAUGAUCAGUAAAACGGGAACUGAGACAGGGGCCAGUCUCCUACGGGAGGAAGUGUUGGGGAAGAUUGGAAAAUGGGGGAAAGCCUAAUCCAGCGAUGCCGGGUGUGGGAAGAAGGUCUUCGUAUUGUAAAGCACUUUAAGUUGGGAGGCGGUACCAACAGAAUAAGCACCGGCUAACUUCGUGCCAGCAGCCGCGGUAAUAC
rnacentral:rRNA from 1 species